GGCAUAAUAUCUAGGGUAAAUCAUAAUCAUAUCAAUGAUAAUAUUCUAAUAAUAAUAUAUUCCUAUAACCACGUUCUCCUUCGCGAUAUCAAGAGCUCGAAUCUUCUGAUCGACGGUAAUGGAAUCUUGAAGAUUGCAGAUUUCGGGGUCGAUCUUUGGAGCACAGGCUGCGUAUUAGGCGAGCUAUACGCUGGAAAACAUAUUCUCCCUGGAAAAACCGAGGCGGAACAACUGCAUAAGAUAUUGGAGUUAUGCGGGUUGCCAUCAGAGGAUUACUGAGGAAAACUGAAGCUGCCAUUUUCAACUGCUUUCGGACAAUGUUUCCAUACGGACCGAGAAUCGCAGAGACGUUCAAGAACUUUCCUGCUCCGGUUAUUUCGCUUCUCAAGACCUUGCUCUCAAUUGAUCCUGAUUCUCGGGGUGCAGUGAUUUGAGGACGUGACCUCCACCAGUCCGGAAGAAUUACACACGGCGGCGUGACGAUCGAAACGAGGAGGAAGUGAACGAUUGUUGGUCUUGGCGGCAAGAUUUGCAUCUAGUUCGUGUAGGUAAGGCUCAGUAGUUCAAACCGAGGGAGGUAACGAUCGUUUCUCAAACAUAUUCAAACAAGGCUCUUUCUUAUGUUUGGUUUCUGUUUUUGUUUGCUUCUUAGAAAUAGUGAGGUUACAGUAAUCUUAGUUUCUCGGUAACAUUUCGUUGUUGGUUGUAAGGUUCUCGGCCAAAUCCGAACCAAUGCGAUCAGAGCUUCUGGGAAAGAAGGAUUGAGCAAGGUCGACAACAAAAAGGAAGUCAAGUUCCAGAAACAAGAAUCAUGUUGAGGAGUGGAUUAGCCUGAUGUUGGUCACUGCAAGCAAGUGGUGAGGUAAGAAUGGAUCACCCGUCUUGUUCGAGGGAGGUAAGGUCUAACGUAGAUUUUCUAAUCGAUAAGAUUGCCUCGACACAGAUUGUCGAUCUGUGUGAGUCUGAUUUGUUUGAUUGGAUUGGUUAUUUCUGAUUAAAACUGCUUAGAGGUACUUUUACGUAAAAUGCAAUCUUCUUUAAUU